AGGAGACCAGGAAGACAAACUGAGAAAAAGGAGACAAAGUUUUUUUUUUUAAAAGCUGAGAGUUGCUGCCUGGUUCUUAUUUCUUUCUUCCUCUGAAGAACCAGACUAAUAUACAUUUAAAUAUAUAUUUUUUUGUUUGUUUCCCAUCUACUUUUGUAUCUACUUUUUAAGGAAGGACCCGUUUUCACCCCUGAAUUGCUGUUUCUUUGGGUUCCAGGGCUGGUUCUGUCAUGCUUCGUGACCAGUCCACUGAUUGGUUGCUCCAGCUCCUCUCCGAGGUGCAUCUGGAGCAGUUUUUCCCUCGAAUCCGCGACGAGCUCAACGUGACCCGGCUGGCGCACUUUGACUAUGUGGAGCCGGCGGACCUGGAGAACAUUGGGAUCGGGCGGCCAGGUCAGAAGAGACUAUGG